CCAGGACCUAGGAGACCAGGUUCCUCUCCUCUCAGAUCCAAGAUUCUGGAAGCAAACUGCACCUAUUUUAAAUUCUUCACCACGGGGGAGAAUGCACGCAUCUUUCAGAGAACCACAAAGAAAGGCCUGCUGCUCUUGGUGAGCCUGGAGGUGUUCCGGCAUUCCGUGAGGGCCCUGCUGCAGAGAGUCAGCCCGGAGCCUCCCCCGGCCCCACGCCUCACCUACGAGUACUCCUGGUCCCUGGGCUGCGGCGUGGGGGCCGGCCUGAUCCUGCUGUUGGGGGCCGGCUGCUUUCUGCUGCUCACACUGCCUUCCUGGCCCUGGGGGUCCCUCUGUCCCAAGCGGGGGCACCGGGCCACCUAGAGCCACGCGUGAGACUUCUCUAAGCAACCACCGAGCCCUUUGACCUUCUCCAUUGUACCCCCAAGAUCUUUUUGCCCCAUCUCCUAGAGAAACUGUGUUCUCCCUGCUCGGGGGCCCAUGUUUUUUUACACGCCUGCCUCCUGUCCCCUUAUCCUUUCUCCCUCUGUAAAUACGUUUUUCUCUGUGGCUGUAUGUGGGUUGCUUGGGGGUGGGAUGGGAAGAGGCUCUUUGCAAACGAGGGUCCCCAGAGAAGACUGGCGGGGACCUGAUGGGGUAGCUGGGGUGUGGGGUUGGGGGAUGAGGUCAGGGGGUCUUGGGUGGGAGUUGGGGGCCCCUUCAUUUCCCAGGUCUGGAUCGAUUCACUUGCCGGGAGAGACUUUUUACAACUCAUCUGCAGCUCCGGGUGCGGUUGGGGGAGAUAGCGAAGGGUCUGGCCUCGCUGUGAUCUGAUUUGGGAUUAAAGGUUUGGAAAUUUAA
rnacentral:lncRNA from 1 species